CAGGAGUGUUGACACUACAAUGAAGAAAUUGGUCUCCCUCUUGAAUACCAGUGACAUUAAUCUUCUGAUCAUCCCAUAGGAUCCAGAUUCUACCUCUUGGGGAGUCCCUAUAGUUAGCUAGCAACUUCCAGCCAGGGACUAAACUAUUAGCUAUUCUCCCUGCAUUCUGUUCUUUAACCUUUAUCUCUACCAAACUGACAAUGUUAAAUUUAUUUUAUCUAAAGUAUUCCCUAGCU
rnacentral:lncRNA from 1 species